ensembl:snRNA U1 U1 spliceosomal RNA
AUACUUACCUGGCAGGGGAGACACCAUGGUCACCAAGGUGGUUUUCCCAGGACGAGGCUUGUCCAUUGCACUCCGGAUGUGUUGACCCCUGAGAUUUCCUCAAAUGUGGGAAACUCAACUACACAAUUUGUGGUAGUGGGGGACUGCGUUUGCACUCUCCCCAA